rnacentral:miRNA from 1 species
UUGGGGACAGAGGCACAGGAUG